rnacentral:rRNA from 1 species
GAUGAACGCUGGCGGCGUGCCUAAUACAUGCGAGUCGAGCGAACAGAUAAGGAGCUUGCUCCUUUGACGUUAGCGGCGGACGGGUGAGUAACACGUGGAUAACCUACCUAUAAGACUGGGAUAACUUCGGGAAACCGGAGCUAAUACCGGAUAACAUAUUGAACCGCAUGGUUCAAUAGUGAAAGGCGGCUUUGCUGUCACUUAUAGAUGGAUCCGCGCCGUAUUAGCUAGUUGGUAAGGUAACGGCUUACCAAGGCAACGAUACGUAGCCGACCUGAGAGGGUGAUCGGCCACACUGGAACUGAGACACGGUCCAGACUCCUACGGGAGGCAGCAGUAGGGAAUCUUCCGCAAUGGGCGAAAGCCUGACGGAGCAACGCCGCGUGAGUGAUGAAGGUCUUCGGAUCGUAAAACUCUGUUAUCAGGGAAGAACAAAUGUGUAAGUAACUGUGCACAUCUUGACGGUACCUGAUCAGAAAGCCACGGCUAACUACGUG